rnacentral:rRNA from 1 species
GACGAACGCUGGCGGCGUGCUUAACACAUGCAAGUCGAACGGGAAGGCAGUACCUUUGUGGUCUGCUCGAGUGGCGAACGGGUGAGUAACACGUGAGUAACCUGCCCUGGACUUUGGGAUAACUUCAGGAAACUAGAGCUAAUACCGCAUAGGAGCUGCUGCUGCAUGGCGUGGGCUGGAAAGUUUCAGCGGUUGGGGUUGCACUCGCGGCUGAUCGGCUUGUGGGUGGGGUAGUGGUUGACCAACGCAUAGACGGGUAGCCGGCCUGGGAGGGUGACAGGCCCCAGGAGACCGGAGGUGGGACCCAGACUGAAACGGGGGGCAAGGGUGGGGAGUAGUGCACAGCAGGCGGAGGGAUGGUAGAAGGCCGCCGCGUCGGGGAAGACGGCCUUCGGGUAGUAAAGCGCAUUCGCGUGUGACGAAGCGUGAGUGACGGUAACGGAUAAGAAAGCACCGGCUAACUACGUG